rnacentral:rRNA from 1 species
AAACCAGCACCUCAAGUGGUCAGGAGGAUUAUUGGGCCUAAAGCAUCCGUAGCCUGUUCUGUAAGUUUUCGGUUAAAUCCAUUAGCUCAACUAAUGGGCCGCCGAAAAUACUGUAGAACUAGGGAGUGGGAGAGGUAGACGGUACUCGGUAGGAAGGGGUAAAAUCCUUUGAUCUAUUGAUGACCACCUGUGGCGAAGGCGGUCUACCAGAACACGUUCGACGGUGAGGGAUGAAAGCUGGGGGAGCAAACCGGAUUAGAAACCCGAGUAGUCC